rnacentral:rRNA from 1 species
CCUACGGGAGGCUGCAGUGGGGAAUAUUGCACAAUGGGGGAAACCCUGAUGCAGCGACGCCGCGUGAGCGAUGAAGUAUUUCGGUAUGUAAAGCUCUAUCAGCAGGGAAGAAAAUGACGGUACCUGACUAAGAAGCCACGGCGAACGACGUGCAAGGAGCCGCGGUAAGACGUAGGGUGCAAGCGUUAUCCGGAUUUACUGGGUGUAAAGGGAGCGUAGACGGCGGUGGAAGCCAGAUGUGAAAGCCCGGGGCGCAACACCGGGACUGCAUUUGGAACUGUGCUGCUAGAGUGUCGGAGAGGCAGGCGGAAUUCCUAGUGGAGCGGUGAAAUGCGUAGAUAUUAGGAGGAACACCAGUGGCGAAGGCGGCCUGCUGGACGAUGACUGACGUUGAGGCUCGAAAGCGUGGGGAGCAAACAGGAUUAGAUACCCGGGUAGUC